CUGCACCUGUAAUCAGUGGAAGGCUAUACCCAAGUGCCUGAACACCAAGCAUCACAAGAGAAAUGAAAGGAACAGAAUCUGCAUCCUGCUUUAUGUAGAAUAGCUGGCUUANNNNNNNNNNNNNAUGAAAGUGUCAAAAUUCGGAGGAUUCCCUCAACCCCCCUGCGAGAUAGAAUGUCUUCUCUUUGCCUCCGAUACAUAAUGGGUAGAGUUUGAAGCCUAACUGUACUAAAAUGGAGGGGAUCAUCACCAUUGCGUUGGCUGGAUAUGGAAAUUCUAGCAGUUGGAUUUACUAACCACCGAGAUGUAGUGGGUGGAUAAGAGACAACCACUUCAAUUAAGCAAUCCAAACCUGCUUCAAGAUCCAUGCUGUCAAAUAAAAUGUUCCAUGAGGCUCGAACGUCCCUGCAGCCAACUAGAUACAUCUUGCCAACAUGAAGGUCAUAAAGGCCUUCAAGAAAAAGCACAGAAAAAUUGCCAUAAGCAUCUCCAUUAAGUGCGAUUUGAGCAGAUACAUUCAUAAGGAGCUGCUUUUCAGUGUAUUCAGCUUUACCAUGGUACGGAGUCUCCCCAUCUGCAGACGAAAUAUUGUGUGAAGACCAAUAUCGCCCAAACAAGGGGCCGAGUGAGAGAAUCUCCAUCUGAAAAUCAGUUCUUGUGGGCUGAGAACCAGAAAAUGGAUCAGGAAACGCAGAGGUGUGAAGGGUCAGGUCCUCUGCAAGAAGAGAGAGACUGGUUAUGUAUGCCUCAGUGUCUUCUAGUUUUGGGAACUGUAACAAUGAUUUCUUAAAGACAGCCUGAAAACUGAAGGGCUGAUUUUUUUCCAGGAUAAUAGCAGCUUUCUCUAUCUUUGAAUAACUGUAGUAUGGACGUGAGUUUCUGAAAUAAUUCCACAGCUCUGUGGGUCGCACUAGUUUCUCAAAUGAUAAAGGGAAAUACGAGGCAUUAAUUUUACUAGUGCUGGAAAAACUCCCAAUAAUUAUGCUUCGUUGCUUUAUGGAAAAUGACAUAGGAAUGUAUAAACAGACGCGAGAAUUACAGCUACUUCCAUCUGUAUCAACUAAUCCAAGGCAACCAACCAUGCAAAGCUGUCCACUGGAAGAUUUCCAAAUUCCUUCAGCAGCAACAGUCAUGUUGCUU
rnacentral:misc_RNA from 1 species